GGUACCCGAAGAUAGUUUGUGGAUUCAGAGUUGGUUCAGUAAUCACUCGUACAUUGGCGAUCGCCGGAUCGUACAAACCACUACCAUAAACGGCUUUGACUACCAGCAUCAAUGCUCCAAUCCCUAGUAGUACUAGAUGAAUGCCAAGAAUAGUAGUCAUUUUGUUACCAUCAUUCCA
rnacentral:antisense_RNA from 20 species